GCGAUGUAGAACAGUUCGAUUUGGGUGAUCUAUAAAAUCAAAAUGAAAUUCCUCGCAAUGUUUCUGGCCAUUAUGGCAGUUGUCUUUGCUGUGGUGGGUGGUAUGAAUAUCGUCCCCAAUGCUGGUAUCAAAGGCAAUCGCGAGUCAGCUGGAUGCGGAGGAUAUGCACCCCCACCACCACCACCAGCGCCUACCAACAGCACCGGUUAGAUGACAGCACCAACUUCAAUUUGUCAACGGACUCGAAACACUGGCUAUCUUGAUUGCACAAAUAAAUCUUUUCAUUGAU